UACGUAGGGCGCAAGCGGUGUCCGGAAUUAUUGGGCGUAAAGAGCUCGUAGGCGGCUUGUCACGUCGGGUUUGAAAGCCCGGGGCUUAACCCCGGGUCUGCAUUCGAUACGGGCUGGCUAGAGUGUGGUAGGGGAGAUCGGAAUUCCUGGUGUAGCGGUGAAAUGCGCAGAUAUCAGGAGGAACACCGGUGGCGAAGGCGGAUCUCUGGGCCAUUACUGACGCUGAGGAGCGAAAGCGUGGGGAGCGAACAGG
rnacentral:rRNA from 1 species